UACUGUGGGUGCUGGUGGGGUGGAUUAGUGGUGCCACUGGACUGUUCUGGGAUGGAGCAUCAGUGAUGAUCUUUAUUUUUCUUAGUGCUGCCUUUGCAUUGUUUGAUUUUUUUUUUUUUUCUUGUCUCUUUAAUUUUUUUUAAUAGACCCAGGUCUAGGGGUGCAUCGUGGAGCAGGGCCCUCCUCUUUUUGACCACAGGACGAUGUACAAAGAUUGUGGGAAUAGCAUCUGGUCUCAGCCUACUCUUGAAUUUUUUGGUCAUGACAAAUUGCUUUGCCUCAAUUUGCCUGCAGAGUGACUCCAGUUUAGUUUCCACAGACAACUUUUUUUUUGUCUACCCACAUACAGUACAUACACAUGGUGGUUAAAUGCACAGUUAUAGGUAACACUGAUGACUCCCUGCAUUGUCUCACCCUGAGUCUCAGCUCCCUGGGUUUUGCAAGGCUUUGUGUGUUCCUUAUUUCUAGUAAAUCAUUUUCAAUGUAAGAAAGUGCAAAUAAAUUUAAGUAUAAUUACCUAACAAUUUUUUGUUGUUGUAAUUUUUAUUUAUAUUUAGAUUGCUCCUGCUGACUUGAGCCAACCAUUAUUUUCUCCUCUCCAUGUCAGCGGGGAAGCCAUACAUUCGCACACCUUCCUCUGACCGAGUGGAGCAUCCCCAUGCAGCACAGUAAACCACGGUGGAGACUAUGCAAGGACAACAUGAAAGAAAGGACACAUACAAAAUGCUUGGCAUGCUAUUAAAUUUAUUAGAAAUGUAUUCAUGAAUUGCUGUAAAUAGUUAAUUGUAUUUAUUUGAAUAAAAAUACAAAGUGAUC
rnacentral:lncRNA from 1 species